rnacentral:rRNA from 1 species
UACGUAGGGUGCGAGCGUUAAUCGGAAUUACUGGGCGUAAAGCGUGCGCAGGCGGUGAUGUAAGACCGAUGUGAAAUCCCCGGGCUCAACCUGGGAACUGCAUUUGUGACUGCAUGGCUAGAGUGCGGCAGAGGGGGAUGGAAUUCCGCGUGUAGCAGUGAAAUGCGUAGAUAUGCGGAGGAACACCGAUGGCGAAGGCAAUCCCCUGGGCCUGCACUGACGCUCAUGCACGAAAGCGUGGGGAGCAAACAGG